rnacentral:misc_RNA from 1 species
UUGAUUUAUUUUAUUUGUUUUAUCAGACUUCAAAUUGUAAAAGAGUUGGUUCUUCGGCGGACGCAAAUCCGCGCAGGGCCGACGUCCACACCCUAUCGCUAGAGGGUAGACGGCCCGCCGAAGCUGCUUUUCAGCGAAAAUACACAAGGGUGGGAGUUUUCGGAGUCAACCGAAAAAAACUCGUUAAUGAUCCUUCCGCAGGUUCACCUACGGAAA